AUGCCUGUGAUUUAAAGGGAAAAUACCUGUCUUCGGAAUAGAAAAUGGGGGUUCGAGUCCUCUCGGGCAUA
rnacentral:tRNA from 1 species